ACUUAAAAGAUAAGUGUGAGGAGGAGCUCCGUUUGGAAGCCUAUAAUACCAACAUGGGGUAUGCAGAUCUAAUAGCGAUAGCUUAUCACAAGCAUCGAUUCUGGAGAACAUUUGAAGUCGGUGAAAAGGUCCGAUUCAUGCUUGGAAGGCAAUGGAUAGGUCCUUUUGAGAUACAGUCUGUUUGGCCAGGCGGACCAGUGGAGAUUAAGAGUUUGGCUACGGCAAAGACGUUUGUAGUCAACUAUCACAAGUUGGAGCCAUAUUGCGAUGCAUCUCAUAUGACAACAGUGGAAGAAAUUCCAUUGUCACCUCAGACGAGAUUCUGAUUGCAUCAAUAGUCUAGCCAAAGACUUUAAAUAAUGGCGCUUAUCGGGAGGCAACCCGAUUUUCUUUCCCUUUUAUUUUCCUGUUUUGCCUUUCUCUUCCUUUAUUUUUGUUUCGUUCAGUUUUCCUUUUAGUUUCUUAGUUCCUUCUUAGUUUUAAUUUUUGUUAAGUUUCAGUUAAAAAAAAAAAAAGAUCGAUGGGAACAUGGCAGCCCUACAAGAGAGCAUUGCGAACUUGAGCGCCACCAUUCGACAGGAGAUGAGGCGGCAGCGCACACGGUGAUUUCCUUCCUUUUC
rnacentral:lncRNA from 1 species